AUGAGUUGUCCUGAUGGCAUCAACUUCCUCGAUGUCAAAUUCUACCUAGGAGAUGUUGGCUAUGCAUGUCAGUCAGAUAUUCUUCCAUCCUUCAGGAAAAUCAUGUACCUUUUGAACGAGUUCGCUGGUAGACACUAUUCUAGGACUCCACAUGAGUUGUUCAAUCUCAGACACUCCAGCCUUAGAGUUACUGUUGAGAGGUUUGGAGCUGUGAAGAACGGGUUUAAGAUCCUAGAUCAAAAGCCAUUCCACACUUUCCACACUUUUCCUACCUAGGUCAAGCUUGUUCUUGCUUGUAGCAUUCUGCAUAACUAAAUCCUGCAAUGGGGUUGUGAUGAACUGGUGCCCGAGGAGGAAGAUGUGACGCCUGACGAUGUUGUCAGCUCUAUCCAUGGUUUGGAGGCAUUUGGCAACGAAGCCUAAAAGAAAAAAAGGAUGGAGUGGGCACAGGGAAUAUGGGAUGACAGAGGUCAGACAAGGAUCCGAAGAAGAAGAAGAAAAGCAAGAGCAGCAACAGAAGAAGAGGAAGAGCAGCAGAAGAGGAGGAGGAGGAAGACGAAGAACUAA
rnacentral:rRNA from 1 species